GGCUAAAUCUAGGCGUGGCAAAAUGGCUGAACAAAAAGCUGGAAAGAAGACUCGACAGAAGAUUCAAAUUAUGGAUGAAGAAAUUGUGGUUCAUACUCUUAUCAAAAGUGUCCCCUCCUGGGGCCAAUAUGGGGGGCAUGCAUUUACUGGGACAAGUCUUUUUGUGGGUCGGGAAAGG